ACACUUACCUGACAGGGGAGACACCAUGAUCACGAAGGUGGUUUUCCCAGGGUGAGGCUUAUCCAUUGCACUCCAGAUGUGCUGACCACUGCGAUUUCCCCAAAUGUGGGAAACUCGACUGCAUAAUUUGUGGUAGUGGGGGACUGCGUUUGUGCUCUCCCCUA
ensembl:snRNA U1 U1 spliceosomal RNA